rnacentral:rRNA from 1 species
UAGGGAAUCUUCGGCAAUGGACGGAAGUCUGACCGAGCAACGCCGCGUGAGUGAAGAAGGUUUUCGGAUCGUAAAGCUCUGUUGUAAGAGAAGAACGAGUGUGAGAGUGGAAAGUUCACACUGUGACGGUAUCUUACCAGAAAGGGACGGCUAACUACGUGCCAGCAGCCGCGGUAAUACGUAGGUCCCGAGCGUUGUCCGGAUUUAUUGGGCGUAAAGCGAGCGCAGGCGGUUUGAUAAGUCUGAAGUUAAAGGCUGUGGCUCAACCAUAGUUCGCUUUGGAAACUGUCAAACUUGAGUGCAGAAGGGGAGAGUGGAAUUCCAUGUGUAGCGGUGAAAUGCGUAGAUAUAUGGAGGAACACCGGUGGCGAAAGCGGCUCUCUGGUCUGUAACUGACGCUGAGGCUCGAAAGCGUGGGGAGCGAACAGGAUUAGAUACCCUGGUAGUCCACGCCGUAAACGAUGAGUGCUAGGUGUUGGAUCCUUUCCGGGAUUCAGUGCCGCAGCUAACGCAUUAAGCACUCCGCCUGGGGAGUACGACCGCAAGGUU